CUAUGGUAUGGUCGUGUGAAACAAACAAAACUGAAUCAUGCUGAUGUGUUUGAACAUCCUAAAGAUCAUGCAGCUUCUUCUCUAUCUGCUCAUAUGGUGUCAAACUGCAGAGACUUUAACAGAUCAGCUAACAGAUUUAGGUCAAAAUGUGACUAUAAACUGUGAUCUUGAUGUAAAUGAGGUUAUUUGGUCUUUGCUGAAACUAGAUUCUCCAGUUCUGAUAUUACGCACUUUCACAACUACAGCUCCUUUUUACUUAAAUAACACAUUUAGAGACAAAUAUAAAGUGCAAAGUAAAAACAAUUUGUUUAUAAUUAAUGUCACUACUGAUGAUUUAGGAGUUUAUUACUGUAUGAAAAUAGACCCUCCUCAAAAAUACAGCAGUGGCACGAGACUGUACAUCAUUGAACCAACUGCAGAGAUCCAGUCUCAUACAGUGGAG